rnacentral:rRNA from 1 species
UACGUAGGGUGCAAGCGUUGUCCGGAUUUAUUGGGCGUAAAGAGCUCGUAGGCGGUCUGUCGCGUCGGAUGUGAAAACCCAGGGCUCAACCCUGGGCCUGCAUUCGAUACGGGCAGACUAGAGUGUGGCAGGGGAGACUGGAAUUCCUGGUGUAGCGGUGAAAUGCGCAGAUAUCAGGAGGAACACCGGUGGCGAAGGCGGGUCUCUGGGCCAAUACUGACGCUGAGGAGCGAAAAGCGUGGGGGAGCGAACAGG